AGUGAACGCUGGCGGUAGGCCUAACACAUGCAAGUCGAACGGCAGCACAGUAAGAGCUUGCUCUUACGGGUGGCGAGUGGCGGACGGGUGAGGAAUACAUCGGAAUCUACUUUUUCGUGGGGGAUAACGUAGGGAAACUUACGCUAAUACCGCAUACGACCUACGGGUGAAAGCAGGGGAUCUUCGGACCUUGCGCGAUUGAAUGAGCCGAUGUCGGAUUAGCUAGUUGGCGGGGUAAAGGCCCACCAAGGCGACGAUCCGUAGCUGGUCUGAGAGGAUGAUCAGGCACACUGGAACUGAGACACGGUCCAGACUCCUACGGAAGGCAGCAGUGGGGAAUAUUGGACAAUGGGCGCAAGCCUGAUCCAGCCAUACCGCGUGGGUGAAGAAGACCUUCGGGUUGUAAAGCCCUUUUGUUGGGAAAGAAAAGCAGCAGGUUAAUACCCCGCUGUUCUGACGGUACCCAAAGAAUAAGCACCGGCUAACUUCGUG
rnacentral:rRNA from 1 species